AUUAAAAGUGUAAUUAUUUUCCGAAUGACACUUAAUGACAACCAUCACAAAUAUUCAUGAAGAAUGAAGAAUGUUCAUGACAGUUGUUAGGUAAUAUCUAUGUAAGUGUCAUGCCAGUCUUAUGGACACCCCUUCAAAUAAAGCGUUAACUGUCUUAUAUGAUGUAUAAAUAAGUCAUAAAAAUAAGGAAAAUGCAAUGCAUUAUGUCAAAAACAGUUUGUGGUAUGUUGGUGCGGAUUCACUUUUAAGGUGAGUGGUGGGCGGCACCAACAUACCCUUUAAAGCCAGGUGUGUGGGGUGCGCACUCACAUACAAUUGUUUUGAGCUGUGGAGAUGGCGUUGUGUGAGCUUGUGUGAUCCUGUCUUUCCUCAAGCAUCAAGUAAUGGUCUUCAGGAUUGUGGUUGUGCUGGUGCUCCCGUUUUGCUCUCUGGGAGUGUGUGUGAUCAGGCACGCGUCGUGGGCAUGGAGCUUUUAACCGAGGUAGGUGGGUUCAUUGUCACCUUGUUGAGCUCGGUGCCAUAGUUCACCUUAAAUUUUAUUUUUAGAUCCUCAGGUGUUCUGGACUUGGUGGUGGACUGUUGUGUGGUUUCCCCCCUCCCCCCUCCUGCCGCUUACUGGUGUGCGCACCUGGCCUAAUUGUCCGUGGCGCAAGGGGAGCACAGCCACGCCAACGCCGUUUUGUCCUUACUUUUGCUUCAUGCCUUUUCAGCUGGGUGUCAUUUACCCAACUGAUGAUUUAUUCUUUAUUUUGGCCAGGGUUCAACCGUUUAUGGCGAGUCCCCCUAUUAUUUUUCAGUACGUUUAUUUACAAUUUGUAUUUUUUUCCUUUGUUUGCAUGUAGGUUUAAUUUGUCAAUUGCUUGCAUGAUUUGGUUUAUUUAGUUUGUUCAGUGUUUUGCUCGUCUUUUUGUUCAUUUGAUUUGCAUGUUUUCUUUGGUUGGGUUGCAGUGUUUUUUUUGUUGUUUUUUUUGACAAUACAAAAAUAAUCACACCUCUACUUAAUGUCCCAUCCUGCCAACAACAACGCCAGUUGUGGCAAUAGCGGUGUCUACUAUUAAAUUUUAAAGUAUUACAUCCAACAACGCCACCUGAGAUCUUGGCCCCAGGACUAUUCAACUUCUAAUAUCUACAAUAAGGCCACGCCAGGUCGGGACAACAAAGAGGUGGAUCAUAAUGUUU